rnacentral:rRNA from 1 species
UUAAGCGACUAAGCGUACACGGUGGAUGCCCUGGCAGUCAGAGGCGAUGAAGGACGUGCUAAUCUGCGAUAAGCGUCGGUAAGGUGAUAUGAACCGUUAUAACCGGCGAUUUCCGAAUGGGGAAACCCAGUGUGAUUCGUCACACUAUCAUUAACUGAAUCCAUAGGUUAAUGAGGCGAACCGGGGGAACUGAAACAUCUAAGUACCCCGAGGAAAAGAAAUCAACCGAGAUUCCCCCAGUAGCGGCGAGCGAACGGGGAGGAGCCCAGAGCCUGAAUCAGUAUGUGUGUUAGUGGAAGCGUCUGGAAAGGCGUGCGAUACAGGGUGACAGCCCCGUACACAAAAAUGCACAUGCUGUGAGCUCGAUGAGUAGGGCGGGACACGUGGUAUCCUGUCUGAAUAUGGGGGGACCAUCCUCCAAGGCUAAAUACUCCUGACUGACCGAUAGUGAACCAGUACCGUGAGGGAAAGGCGAAAAGAACCCCGGCGAGGGGAGUGAAAAAGAACCUGAAACCGUGUACGUACAAGCAGUGGGAGCCUCUUUAAUGGGGUGACUGCGUACCUUUUGUAUAAUGGGUCAGCGACUUAUAUUCUGUAGCAAGGUUAACCGAAUAGGGGAGCCGAAGGGAAACCGAGUCUUAACUGGGCGUUAAGUUGCAGGGUAUAGACCCGAAACCCGGUGAUCUAGCCAUGGGCAGGUUGAAGGUUGGGUAACACUAACUGGAGGACCGAACCGACUAAUGUUGAAAAAUUAGCGGAUGACUUGUGGCUGGGGGUGAAAGGCCAAUCAAACCGGGAGAUAGCUGGUUCUCCCCGAAAGCUAUUUAGGUAGCGCCUCGUGAAUUCAUCUCCGGGGGUAGAGCACUGUUUCGGCAAGGGGGUCAUCCCGACUUACCAACCCGAUGCAAACUGCGAAUACCGGAGAAUGUUAUCACGGGAGACACACGGCGGGUGCUAACGUCCGUCGUGAAGAGGGAAACAACCCAGACCGCCAGCUAAGGUCCCAAAGUCAUGGUUAAGUGGGAAACGAUGUGGGAAGGCCCAGACAGCCAGGAUGUUGGCUUAGAAGCAGCCAUCAUUUAAAGAAAGCGUAAUAGCUCACUGGUCGAGUCGGCCUGCGCGGAAGAUGUAACGGGGCUAAACCAUGCACCGAAGUUGCGGCAGCGACACUAUGUGUUGUUGGGUAGGGGAGCGUUCUGUAAGCCGUUGAAGGUGUGCUGUGAGGCAUGCUGGAGGUAUCAGAAGUGCGAAUGCUGACAUAAGUAACGAUAAAGCGGGUGAAAAGCCCGCUCGCCGGAAGACCAAGGGUUCCUGUCCAACGUUAAUCGGGGCAGGGUGAGUCGACCCCUAAGGCGAGGCCGAAAGGCGUAGUCGAUGGGAAACAGGUUAAUAUUCCUGUACUUGGUGUUACUGCGAAGGGGGGACGGAGAAGGCUAUGUUGGCCGGGCGACGGUUGUCCCGGUUUAAGCGUGUAGGCUGAUUUUCCAGGCAAAUCCGGAGAAUCAAGGCUGAGGCGUGAUGACGAGGCACUACGGUGCUGAAGCAACAAAUGCCCUGCUUCCAGGAAAAGCCUCUAAGCAUCAGGUAACAUCAAAUCGUACCCCAAACCGACACAGGUGGUCAGGUAGAGAAUACCAAGGCGCUUGAGAGAACUCGGGUGAAGGAACUAGGCAAAAUGGUGCCGUAACUUCGGGAGAAGGCACGCUGAUAUGUAGGUGAAGCGACUUGCUCGUGGAGCUGAAAUCAGUCGAAGAUACCAGCUGGCUGCAACUGUUUAUUAAAAACACAGCACUGUGCAAACACGAAAGUGGACGUAUACGGUGUGACGCCUGCCCGGUGCCGGAAGGUUAAUUGAUGGGGUCAGCCGCAAGGCGAAGCUCUUGAUCGAAGCCCCGGUAAACGGCGGCCGUAACUAUAACGGUCCUAAGGUAGCGAAAUUCCUUGUCGGGUAAGUUCCGACCUGCACGAAUGGCGUAAUGAUGGCCAGGCUGUCUCCACCCGAGACUCAGUGAAAUUGAACUCGCUGUGAAGAUGCAGUGUACCCGCGGCAAGACGGAAAGACCCCGUGAACCUUUACUAUAGCUUGACACUGAACAUUGAGCCUUGAUGUGUAGGAUAGGUGGGAGGCUUUGAAGUGUGGACGCCAGUCUGCAUGGAGCCGACCUUGAAAUACCACCCUUUAAUGUUUGAUGUUCUAACGUGGACCCGUGAUCCGGGUUGCGGACAGUGUCUGGUGGGUAGUUUGACUGGGGCGGUCUCCUCCUAAAGAGUAACGGAGGAGCACGAAGGUUGGCUAAUCCUGGUCGGACAUCAGGAGGUUAGUGCAAUGGCAUAAGCCAGCUUGACUGCGAGCGUGACGGCGCGAGCAGGUGCGAAAGCAGGUCAUAGUGAUCCGGUGGUUCUGAAUGGAAGGGCCAUCGCUCAACGGAUAAAAGGUACUCCGGGGAUAACAGGCUGAUACCGCCCAAGAGUUCAUAUCGACGGCGGUGUUUGGCACCUCGAUGUCGGCUCAUCACAUCCUGGGGCUGAAGUAGGUCCCAAGGGUAUGGCUGUUCGCCAUUUAAAGUGGUACGCGAGCUGGGUUUAGAACGUCGUGAGACAGUUCGGUCCCUAUCUGCCGUGGGCGCUGGAGAACUGAGGGGGGCUGCUCCUAGUACGAGAGGACCGGAGUGGACGCAUCACUGGUGUUCGGGUUGUCAUGCCAAUGGCACUGCCCGGUAGCUAAAUGCGGAAGAGAUAAGUGCUGAAAGCAUCUAAGCACGAAACUUGCCCCGAGAUGAGUUCUCCCUGAGACUUUAAGUCUCCUGAAGGAACGUUGAAGACGACGACGUUGAUAGGCCGGGUGUGUAAGCGCAGCGAUGCGUUGAGCUAACCGGUACUAAUGAACCGUGAGGCUUAACCUU